AUUUACAUGAAUCAAUGAAUUUCUAUUUUAUUAUUUGCACCUAAGACUAGGGUAAAAUAUGUCAUUUUAUAUUUUCUGCUUUUAGCAUUCUCCUUACAGUUGUAACAAAAAAAACUGCUCAAGUUGUGUAGUCUAUUUUCUAUACUUGGAUAUGUUAAAUUGGGGACUUGAAAAAUACAGAUAUCAUUGAUAAAGUAUUGAAAUAGAAUAACAAAGAUUGUAUACUAUUUCAAUAACAUGUUAAAAAUAUUGCCAUGAAUUUACAUGAAGUAAUAGUAUGUCUAUUCUUGAGAAGUGAGAUUAAUUUCAAUUGGAAUAAUUAUUCGCCAGUGAAAGUUAAGUAUGAGUCAAGCAUAUACAACAUACAUUUAUAUAACCGAGAAUUUUGACCUAAUACUAUAUUUGCUUUCAGCACCAGGACCAUACCUUACACUUCAAAACGUGAAUGGGAUGAAUGUGUUAAUACAGUAAUCAGUGCUAUCUUAUUAAGUAAGUAGGCUAUCCCUGUGGUACAAUAACUGACAGGAUUUUCUUCCCAGAAUAUCUCCCAUAACUCUCCAGGAGCCAGUAUUAGCAGUAUAUGACACUGAAUCAAGCAUUCUUCUAGGCUCUAUUUUCUAAAAUAUCCUAAUCCUUAGAAAGUUAAAACAUUCCCCUUAAUUUGUUUUCUUUAGUUUCUUUUUUUGGUACCAGGGAUCGAACUUGGGACCUGGUGCUUGCGAGGCAGGCGCUGGAACCACGGAGCUAAAUCCCUGGCCCUCCCCUUAAUUUGUUAGUAUGAGUAGAGUUCUUCACUAAGUAGAACUGUGUUUUGUGAGAUUAGUAGAUGCUGGGAGAUUCCAAAAGAAGCUUUCAAAGGUAUGUUCAUUUUGCUGCACAGCUGAGUCCAUAACUAGUCCUUGAGCAGUUGCAGCUGUGUCCUUGGGUACACAUUAGAAAAAUCGAAGCAGUUUAAGCCUCACAUCAUCACUUUUUGUCCCUGAUGGUACGUAUGCUUCAUAGGUUGUUGGAUAAUAGUCAUAGGCCAACAAUUGGUUUUAGGUCCUUUUCUGUUUUGUCCAUUUUAAAGGUAAGCUAAUUAUUAGCUUGCAUAGAUUUACUUUUUAGUUUUCAAUAAUGCUAUCACUGCCAAGAAAGAAAAGGUCAUUUUUAGUGUCUUAUUUAGUAUUCCUUUAUAACUAGUGUUAAAGUUCUAUUAAUUUUACUGUAUACAUUUAUUAGAAAUUAAAUGCCAAAAGGAAAAAAAGUGCUGUAAAGUCUGACUCAGAAUUGCUUUUCAUUUGCUUUGAUUUUUAAUUUUAUUACAUUAAUAGCUAACAUCUGUUGUUUCUCACCCAUUUUUUUCCCCCUUUGUGGUUACUGAAUCAGCUCUUAACUAUAUUCUUUAAAUUGUAUGUAUCAUCAGAAGGAAGAUAUGAGCAAUUACAUGUAUAUAUUUUAUCUUGGAAAAUAACAUUCACUUUAGCAGGCUAAUAACGUCUACAUUAUUUGUCCUUUCUCACAUGACCUGAAGAGUAUUUUGUUCAUUGUCACAAUUUGGCAUUGCUAGUUCCAGGUAAUCUUUGGGUCAGAAGGUCAGCUAAGAAACAGAAUAAGUAGCAUAAAUUAUUGAAGCAUGCUAGAAAACAACUCAAAAGUACUCCCAAUUAGUGAUUAUUACAUUUGUAUUAAUGAAGGGUUGUGAAGUUAUUGUAAAAUGGCUGAAUAAAGCCCAAUUGUAGAGUAAUUCAGAUGGACAACCAAAUCCUUAAGAGACUUAUAGACAAAGUCUGUUUAGCCAAGCCAGAACCAGCCUGCCUGCAGUUGCCACAUAAGUUAACUAGUAGUUUAGAAGCUCAAGAAUGGAUCAAAAUGUUUAGGUCUUGAAUAUUGUGGAUUAUAGCUUCUUAUAGAAAACUACAGAUGUGGACAAAAACUGUUCUCUUUGAAAGCAUUGCCAGCAGCCUAAUAGAGUCUUUAGAUUUCCAUUUAUAUUUGGCAGUUUUGACCAUGUGCUUCUCUUGUAUAAAGUACUACAUUUUACUAUGCUUAGUAUUGAUGGGUUGUAUUUGUCUACACUAUCAGAGUGGAUUUUGCCUUUUUAAAAUUGCCAUUUGUGCAAAGAACAGGAGUUCAUACAACACAGUGUGUUACCAGCUUAUAUAUGGUGGGUAAAUAGUUUUUAAUGCUUCAUAAUCAUUUGAAUUAAAAUUUGAUACCUCUGGAAAGCAAAGUGGUGCUUUAAUUUUGAAUGAAAAAUUUUUAUUGUGUAGGAAAGACAGCUAAUGUCUUUGUGUCCUGACUUACAUACAAACCACCUAUAGGAGUUAGACAAAUUCCUUAUAAAUCCAGUGAUUUUGAAUGUAAUAGCAGUGUUGGGUUUUUAAAAGAGCAUAUGGUGCGUCUUUUGCAAAUAUGAAUACUCUUAGUAAUCUUGACUAAUUGUAAAGCAGUGACAAACCAAUAUUUUGCCUUUUAUUUAACUUUAAGCAUGUUCACUUUUCAAAGCCUCUGUUUCUUUAUUUCUAAAAUAGAGAUGAUAAUUCUUCAGAGGAAUAAUUUGAGUUUGGAUUUAUUUCAAAAUGACAUUGUUAGUAUAAUUAUUCAGGUUGUUUGAUAAAUUUAUUACUGUGUCCUGAGAGAGAUUUUUGACUGUUUUCCUUUUUCCUGGGCAUCACUUUAUUCCUUCUGUUAAAUUUUGUUGUUGUUGUUACUGGGGAUUGAACUCAGGACUAUUGUGCUUGCCAGGCAGGCAUGGUGCCACUGAGGUAAAUCCCCAGACCCCCUCUGUUAAAUUUUUUUAAAUUAUAUGUUCACUCUCUUACUUUUUCCUUAUUCUUCCUCUUUUUAUUCUUCUUUCAUUCCCUGCCUCUUCUCAUUCAGUUCUUUCUCUAAUUUCACUUAUUCCUUUAUUAUGAGAAGCAGAGCAGGUCGUGGUAAAACCCCUACUGACUGCCUUCCUACUAAAUGAGAUUUUGGAAGGCAGGUAUUUCCGAAAUUGCAAAGGUGAAAUUCCCCUGCCAUUUCAAAAUAGUAGAACAAGUUAAAGUAAUUUAUAACUGUAGUUUCUACUAUCCUUCUGAAUCCACAGGAUUCAGCAGCUGACAUGUUCACAAAAUGGGAUUGCUUUAAUAUGAUAGAUUCAACACCUAAACUUGGAAUAGUCAUGUCUGCUGUGAUGUGGAUAAAGAGAUGAUGCCACUUUUCUCAAAGAAGAGUAUUUAAAAUCUAAAUUACAUGAAUUUUUUGUUUUAUGAUUUUUUUCCUUUUUUUUUUUUUGGUCUUUGUAGGUGAGUUCUUUUGUUUCUAGAGGAAAGUCCUUUGAACUAUUCUAGAUUUAUGUUAUGUAAAUAUUAUUGAUUUAUAAUAUUUGGACUGCUUGUCUUCAAAAACUAUUUGAGGCAUCAUAUUGCCCCUAUAUGUAUAUAUGUAUUGCUCCUAUUGCUAAUUUUCUGUUGCAAAACAGUAAUUUUGAUGGAAGACCUAGAAUGUUACAAUUCUUAAUUUCUGAGUCUUUCUAGAAUAUAUUUGCUUUCCAUAUCCUUGUUGCUUAUGGUGACACAGUGGUCAACUGAAAUAUUCCUAAUUUUACUAAGUGAUUAUAGUCUCUCAGGUAAGAAGAAGAUUAUUGAAUUUACAGUUGCUGCAAAUGUAGUUUCAUUUAGUUUUAUUUUAAACUAAAAGUGUAUGCAUACCAUGCCAUUAUUUGAAAAAUCGUUGCAAAUAAUAAAAAUUACUUCUUUCUGUGAAGUUUUACUAGAAAGGAGAAAAAUUCCAAACUAUAGUAUUACAG
rnacentral:lncRNA from 1 species